CAUUCUUUCAAUAGCACUAACAUGUGCAAUACGUUCUCUAGAAAUACCAUCAAUUGAAUGGAAGAACAUUGCCAUGGUCACUUAAAUAUUUACAAAAGGAAGGGAAGAAGGGGAUCUAGGGUGGGUUAGCAACAAUAUCAACUAUUUCUUCACGCCUUCCCUUGAUUUGGGAGUUGGCUUCGACCAAAGAAGCAAGCAACCACCAAAAAAAAAAGGGGGUAUUAGACUAAUGUCCAAAAGGAGGAUCAAUUGGAGCAGAAGGAGUGAGCACAAGCAAGAAGGCCAAGAUAAUAAACUCAACCAUCUCUUUACAGCUUAUCAUGUUGGCAGCUUAUCAUCUAAAAUCUAAAUAUGGGUUUAAUUCAUAGAACCAAGUUGCAUUCCCCAAGCUUUUGCAUUCACACUGAUAAGUGAAAAUGGCUCUGGAUUGUAAUUCAAAAGGGACUUCCUUUAGGAUUGCAACCUGAGAUGGCAUCAAUAUCAGAAUAGUUUAGGGGGCAGGACCACGCAGCAGGAGCAUAUCUCAAAGGCAAGUUUGGAGGGUCCGCAUAGUUCUCCAACUUCAGUUCUGGUCCUCCAAGAAGGCAUAGGCACAGGUAUUGGAUGCAAAGCUCUGCAAAGCGUUACGUGCAAUUGAGAACUGUAUUGGCUGAGAUAGCAGGGAAUGCUUGCUUGACAGCAAUUGAUGAUGCCACAGCAACCGGUUAUGUUGUUGGUGCCACACAUUAAGGUGCAACCAGACAAGAUCUCUGGACUGCCAAGUCUCGGUCUGAAGAGAGCAUUUCCACGGCCAAGAAACAUCCCUUGUUGCAUUCUCUGGAAACAAAGAAGGAGCUUCGGCGAGGGGACCUUCUGCAAUUGCCCGAUCAAAUGAAUCGUUCCAGCAAACCUGGAGCAAGGGCAAGUUUAUGAUUACCGUUUGAUCACUCAGGGACACUUCCAGCGCCUCAACAAUUUCUUGGGAACCUUUUCCAAGUUAAAGCACCCCAGAUACGGCUUUGAACUGUUGAUGGAAUCGCCAGAGACAUCAGUACAGCUUAUGGUGAAUGCUUCAUUAGAGCACAAUCUGGACCAAUUCCAAAUGGGUAGGGAAUUGUCACUCCUCCAUAGGUGUUAAUGCAUCCUGGAUUCGCCACUGGAAAUCGUGUCCCUCCAAUGAUUGAACAAUGGGGUAAAGAAACACAAAUAACAUACAGAUGGAGCUGUGGAAGCAGCCACCGCAGCAGACGGAGCCUCCGGCAGCUGUAUCGUCUUCCCAAACAGCGUAAAUGAAAGUAGAUGUUCAAUGCUGGGAAAAGGCAGAGGAGGAAGAUGAGCAAGAGGAGAGACAAGGCGUCAGAGAUGGAAGUAUAGGUGGUGGCAGAGGAGGAAGUAUGGGAGGACUGAGGAGGCGGAGAAGGAAGAUGCGGAGAAGAAAGAGCUACAAAGAAACGGUGGUUGGCCUGUGACGAGAGAGAGAGAGAGGGGGGGAGGACUUUCAUUUUCAGUUUUGUUUUUGUUGAUUACAUGGAGAUCCGUUUUAUUGAUUUAAUCCACUUAGGAUCCGCGUACCAACCCGAAUAGAAGAUGAAAUUAU